rnacentral:siRNA from 1 species
UCUGCACUCAGAGAUGGUU